rnacentral:rRNA from 1 species
GCAGGCGCGUAAAUUACCCAUCCUGAUACGGGGAGGUAGUGACAAUAAAUAACAAUACGGGGCCCAUCGGGUCUUGUAAUUGGAAUGAGUACAAUCUAAAUCCCUUAACGAGGAUCAAUUGGAGGGCAAGUCUGGUGCCAGCAGCCGCGGUAAUUCCAGCUCCAAUAGCGUAUAUUAAAGUUGUUGCAGUUAAAAAGCUCGUAGUUGGAUUUCUGGUAGGAGUGACCGUUCCGAACUUGAUUGUUCGUGUAUUGUGUUUUCUCCAGCCAUCCUUGUGGAGAACUUUUCUUGCAUUAAUUUGUAGGGAUUGGGACCCGCAUCGUUUACUGUGAAAAAAUUAGAGUGUUUAAAGCGGGCAAUCGCUUGAAUACAUUAGCAUGGAAUAAUAAGAUAGGACUUUGGUACUAUUUUGUUGGUUUGCAUACCAAAUUAAUGAUCAACAGGAACAGUUUGAGGAUAUUCGUAUGAACAUGUCAGAGGUGAAAUUCUUGGAUUUUGAUCAGACGAACUACUGCGAAAGCAUUUAUCAAGGAUGUUUUCAUUAAUCAAGAACGAAAGUUAGGGGAUCGAAGAUGAUUAAGAUACCAUCGUAGUCUUAACCAUAAACUAUGCCGACUAGGGAUUGGCGGACGUUGUCUAUAUGACUCCGCCAGCACCUCAUGAGAAAUCAAAGUCUUUGGGUUCCGGGGGGAGUAUGGNUCGCAAGGCUGAAACUUAAAGGAAUUGACGGAAGGGCACCACCAGGAGUGGGAGCCUGCGGCUUAAUUUGACUCA